CCUACGGGUGGUAGCAGUGAGGAAUAUUGGUCAAUGGCCGAGAGGCUGAACCAGCCAAGUCGCGUGAGGGAAGACGGCCCUACGGGUUGUAAACCUCUUUUGUCGGGGAGCAAAGCGAACCACGUGUGGUUCAUUGAGAGUACCCGAAGAAAAAGCAUCGGCUAACCCGGUUCCGUCAGCCCCGGUACGACGGGGGAUGCGAGCGUUAUCGGGAUUUAUUGGGUUUAAAGGGUGGGCAGGCGGAGGUGCAAGUCAGCGGUCAAAUCGCGGGGCUCAACCCCGUACUGCCGUUGAAACUGCAUGCCUUGAGUGCGCGAGAAGUAUGCGGAAUGCGUGGUGUAGCGGUGAAAUGCAUAGAUAUGACGCAGAACUCCGAUUGCGAAGGCAGCAUACCGGCGCGCAACUGACGCUCAUGCACGAAAGCGUGGGUAUCGAACAGGAUUAGAUACCCCAGUAGUC
rnacentral:rRNA from 1 species